rnacentral:rRNA from 1 species
CCUACGGGUGGCUGCAGUGGGGAAUUUUGGACAAUGGGCGAAAGCCUGAUCCAGCCAUGCCGCGUGAGUGAAGAAGGCCUUCGGGUUGUAAAGCUCUUUCGGACGGGAAGAAAUCAUGAGGGCUAAUAUCCCUUGUGGAUGACGGUACCGUAAUAAGAAGCACCGGCUAACUACGUGCCAGCAGCCGCGGUAAUACGUAGGGUGCGAGCGUUAAUCGGAAUUACUGGGCGUAAAGCGUGCGCAGGCGGUUUUGUAAGACAGGCGUGAAAUCCCCG